CCAAUUCCUGCACAGUCAGAAAUGAGUGCACUUCCUAUGGUAGAAAGGGAAUAAAUGAAAUGGUGGAACAGAGAGAUGAUUUAAAGACUGGGAAACUAAGGCUAUGUAAUCCUCAGAAUUUGGGGGAUGAACUUUUGAAAUGAGAGAGUAGGAAGAGGAACCCUUGUUUUUUAAUGAGCUUCAUAACAUUCAACGAAGGCAGUGACUGAUGCACUGAUUUGGAAGCUUCAGCAUUUGAACUGUGCUUCUAUGAUAAAGGAGAAAAUGGCUUUGUGGUUUAGCCAAUUCCUCUUUGUGAGUCCCAGUUUUCUCAAGUGCAGACUGAGUUGUAUAAUGAACACCUUGAAGAACUGUUGGAUAUUUACAGUGCCAAACAUAGUAGCAAGUUCUAGUAAUUGUGAGACAGAGAAACUGAAGGACUCCAUGAAAUUCUGCUUUUUGCUCCAUUUCCUGCUUCUAUUCUUGCUGGGACCUGCACCCCCACUUUCCACAUGCCUUAUCGUGCAAAUAGUGUAUGUCCCCCUUGUAAAAGGCAAGGAGUUAAUGGUUUCUUUAGAGUCUUCUAGCACAACAUCUAAGGAAGGCCCAGGCAAGGAUGACUGAAUGAAGCUACCAUAUACAUAUUCUAGACAACUGGUAUCAAACAUCAUGAUGCCAAGACCCCCUGGCUCCAAGGAAUAAUUGCCUUAUGAAGGACCAAGACCCUUGUCCUUGUUCUAGCAAAUUCCUGGCUGCCUGAGAGGACACGUACACCAAACCACAAUCCUCCACAGAAUCCCCAGAUCCCAAAGACAAGACCCCUUUUCCAAGUCUCCCAGAUGUUGUCUAUAUCUGCUCUUUAUUUUUAAUAAACUGUUCUCACUUU